rnacentral:rRNA from 1 species
AUCUACGGCCAUGCCACCCUGAACAAGCCUGAUGUCUGAUCUUGGAAGCUAAGCAGGGUCGGGACUGGUUAAUAGUUAGAUGGGAAGACCAGGUACUGUAGGUA